rnacentral:rRNA from 1 species
GACGAACGCUGGCGGCGUGCCUAAUACAUGCAAGUCGAACGAGAGCGACCGGUGCUUGCACUGGUCAAUCUAGUGGCGAACGGGUGAGUAACACGUGGGUAACCUGCCCAUCAGAGGGGGAUAACAUCCGGAAACGGAUGCUAAAACCGCAUAGGUCUUCGAACCGCAUGGUUUGAAGGGGAAAAGAGGCGCAAGCUUCUGCUGGUGGAUGGACCCGCGGUGCAUUAGCUAGUUGGUGAGGUAACGGCUCACCAAGGCCGUGAUGCAUAGCCGACCUGAGAGGGUGAUCAGCCACAUUGGGACUGAGACACGGCCCAAACUCCUACGGGAGGCAGCAGUAGGGAAUCUUCCGCAAUGGACGCAAGUCUGACGGAGCAACGCCGCGUGAGUGAAGAAGGUUUUCGGAUCGUAAAACUCUGUUGUUAGAGAAGAACAAGUGCUAGAGUAACUGUUAGCGCCUUGACGGUAUCUAACCAGAAAGCCACGGCUAACUACGUG